UACGUAGGUGACAAGCGUUGUCCGGAUUUACUGGGCGUAAAGAGCGCGCCAGGCGGUCGUUCAAGUCGAGUGUGAAAGCCCCCGGCUCAACUGGGGAGGGUCACUCGAUACUGAUCGACUCGAAGGCAGGAGAGGGUAGUGGAAUUCCCGGUGUAGUGGUGAAAUGCGUAGAUAUCGGGAGGAACACCAGUGGCGAAGGCGACUACCUGGCCUGUUCUUGACGCUGAGGCGCGAAAGCUAGGGGAGCAAACGGG
rnacentral:rRNA from 1 species